UACGUAGGGUGCAAGCGUUGUCCGGAUUUAUUGGGCGUAAAGAGCUCGUAGGCGGUUUGUCGCGUCUGCUGUGAAAGCCCGAGGCUCAACCUCGGGUCUGCAGUGGGUACGGGCAGACUAGAGUGCGGUAGGGGAGAUUGGAAUUCCUGGUGUAGCGGUGGAAUGCGCAGAUAUCAGGAGGAACACCGAUGGCGAAGGCAGAUCUCUGGGCCGGUACUGACGCUGAGGAGCGAAAGCAUGGGGAGCGAACAGG
rnacentral:rRNA from 1 species